CUUUCCUGAGAGUCCGGUGCUUCAUUGUUCACUUUACCUGUGAGGAACUCAUUAAACCCUUCUGACUUAUACUUCAGUCUCUUAGUCCUCUUUGACGCUUGCACCAGAAACGAACAAUUCUAACAGGGGCGUGUUCCAGAGGCUGGAGGACCUUCUGAAGCACCUUCUCUAAACCCUGUGCUCACGAUUACCCUGAAGCAUGAGGAAAGACCUUCGCGUACUCCUCCUAGGGCAGAGGGUUCGAUUGCUGGGGCUGAUGAACGGACUGAGCAACCGCUCACACUCCCCCGGUUUGAUCCCCUCUCGUCUACCUCCUCUCCCGGAUCCAAGGAUGCUGCUCAGCGUGAGGUGCGCGUGGCGCGCAUCCAAAUGGAGGCCGAGGACAAAGAGCGGAAUCGUAGAGCUAAACUCGAGUUGCAAAUCAGAAAACUUGAGAUUGAGGCUGACACGGCCGUGAAGCUGAGACGCCUUGAGCUAGAGGCCGAAGGCCGCCUCUGGCUCAGUCCUACCAGCCCUGGACUCGCUGCAUCUGCCCUCUCCUCCACCGCUCAGACCUGCCCAGCGAUUGACAGAAUUUGCCAUUACCGUGCUCCCGUGACCAGCUGUGUGCAGAGCAGAGGGCGGACCCAACACUACGCUCUCUAUUUUCCAAUGUGGAUUUCCACUUGGAAAUUCGCCAUAAGAAGGGUUCGGAGAAUGUGUUUGCUGAUGCCUUGUCCAGAAUGUAGUGUAUCCCACAGCUGGUGUUGACUGACAGCCCUGCUCUACCUGCGAUUGGAGGGACAAUCAAGGCUUGGCCAAUCGUCGCCCUCCACCUGUGGCUGCUCCAGUUUAAAGGGACCCGUCUCCUGCUACUCCUGGCUGCCAGAUUCUGGUUGUGAAUCGGCAUGCCAUUUCAUUGACUUUGCACUCUAUUCUUAGAGCCUCCUUUUGUUGCCUUUAUGUUGUUGUUUUUUUGGAUUGUAAUUCUAAGUUGUUAACUGCCCUUCAUUUUCC
ensembl:lncRNA